rnacentral:rRNA from 1 species
CAGCCGCCGCGGUAAUACGAAGGGUGCAAGCGUUACUCGGAAUUACUGGGCGUAAAGCGUGCGUAGGCGGUGAGUUAAGUCUGCUGUGAAAUCCCCGGGCUCAACCUGGGAAUGGCAGUGGAUACUGGCUCGCUAGAGUGUGUCAGAGGAUGGUGGAAUUCCCGGUGUAGCGGUGAAAUGCGUAGAGAUCGGGAGGAACAUCAGUGGCGAAGGCGGCCAUCUGGGACAACACUGACGCUGAGGCACGAAAGCGUGGGGAGCAAACAGGAUUAGAUACCCCUGUAGUCCCUGUCUCUUAUAC